rfam:Danio rerio chromosome 14 genomic contig CTG1487, GRCz11 reference primary assembly.
UGAGGCCAGCCAUAUCACCCUGCAGCCCAAGACCGGGUACUGACUGAAGCUACGCAGGGAUGAGCCUGGUCAGUACCUGGAUAGGAGACCACAUGGGAAAACUAGGUUGCUGUUGGAA